CUGCAGUCGAGCGGACAGAAGGGAGCUUGCUCCCGGAUGUUAGCGGCGGACGGGUGAAUAACACGUGGGUAACCUGCCUGUAAGACUGGGAUAACUCCGGGAAACCGGAGCUAAUACCGGAUAGUUCCUUGAACCGCAUGGUUCAAGGAUGAAAGACGGUUUCGGCUGUCACUUACAGAUGGACCCGCGGCGCAUUAGCUAGUUGGUGAGGUAACAGCUCACCAAGGCGACGAUGCGUAGCCGACCUGAGAGGGUGAUCGGCCACACUGGGACUGAGACACGGCCCAGACUCCUACGGGAGGCAGCAGUAGGGAAUCUUCCGCAAUGGACGAAAGUCUGACGGAGCAACGCCGCGUGAGUGAUGAAGGUUUUCGGAUCGCAAAGCUCUGUUGUUAGGGAAGAACAAGUGCAAGAGUAACUGCUUGCACCUUGACGGUACCUAACCAGAAAGCCACGGCUAACUACGUGCCAGCAGCCGCGGUAAUACGUAGGUGGCAAGCGUUGUCCGGAAUUAUUGGGCGUAAAGGGCUCGCAGGCGGUUUCUUAAGUCUGAUGUGAAAGCCCCCGGCUCAACCGGGGAGGGUCAUUGGAAGCUGGGAAACUUGAGUGCAGAAGAGGAGAGUGGAAUUCCACGUGUAGCGGUGAAAUGCGUAGAGAUGUGGAGGAACACCAGUGGCGAAGGCGACUCUCUGGUCUGUAACUGACGCUGAGGAGCGAAAGCGUGGGGAGCGAACAGGAUUAGAUACCCUGGUAGUCCACGCCGUAAACGAUGAGUGCUAAGUGUUAGGGGGUUUCCGCCCCUUAGUGCUGCAGCUAACGCAUUAAGCACUCCGCCUGGGGAGUACGGUCG
rnacentral:rRNA from 1 species